UCUUGUACACACCGCCCGUCAAACUAUGAGAGGAGUGGGCAUUUAAAAAUGUAUUCAUUUGCAU
rnacentral:rRNA from 1 species